rnacentral:tRNA from 1 species
UAGGAGGUAGUAUAAUGGAAGCACAAAGAGUUUUGAUCUCUUAGGUAUGGGUUCGAUUCCCCUUCUCCUAA